rnacentral:rRNA from 1 species
GAACAGGAUUAGAUACCCUGGUAGUCCACGCCGUAAACGAUGAUCACUCGCUGUUGGCGAUACACAGUCAGCGGCUAAGCGAAAGCGUUAAGUAAUCCACCUGGGGAGUACGCCCGCAAGGGUGAAACUCAAAGGAAUUGACGGGGGCCCGCACAAGCGGUGGAACAUGUGGUUUAAUUCGAUGAUACGCGAGGAACCUUACCUGGGCUUGUAGGUUAGUGAAGUAUGUGGAAACAUGUACGUCAGCAAUGACACGAAACUAGGUGCUGCAUGGUUGUCGUCAGCUCGUGCCGUGAGGUGUCGGGUUAAGUCCCAUAACGAGCGCAACCCUUAUCAUUAGUUGCCAGCAGGUUAAGCUGGGGACUCUAAUGAGACUGCCAGCGUAAGCUGUGAGGAAGGUGGGGAUGACGU